rnacentral:lncRNA from 1 species
AGCAGUAAAAGCGGCAAACAGCACUAGAGCAAUGGCUGCAACAGCAGCAGCAGCAUUAGAUACAGCAAGGGCAGCAGCCAGGCAGCCAAAACAUUGUGGCACACUUGAAAGUCAAUUCAUUUCAAAACGCAAAAUAAACAGACACGCAGCAGUGCAGGGGGCAGGGCGCUGGGGAGUGUGGAACACUGCGUAUGAGCUAUGACUGGGGGGGGGGGAAAUAUUCACAUUUUUCAGCACUGGCAUCAGAGCACUUGAACUUUUUCAAUUAUG